GAUGAACGCUGGCGGCAUGCCUAAUACAUGCAAGUUGAGCGAAUGGAUUAAGAGCUUGCUCUUAUGAAGUUAGCGGCGGACGGGUGAGUAACACGUGGGUAACCUGCCCAUAAGACUGGGAUAACUCCGGGAAACCGGGGCUAAUCCCGGAUAACAUUUUGAACCGCAUGGUUCGAAAUUGAAAGGCGGCUUCGGCUGUCACUUAUGGAUGGACCCGCGUCGCAUUAGCUAGUUGGUGAGGUAACGGCUCACCAAGGCAACGAUGCGUAGCCGGCCUGAUAGGGUGAUGGUCCACCCUGGGACUGAGACACGGCCCAGACUCCUACGGGAGGCAGCAGUAGGGAAUCUUCCGAAAGGGACGAAAGUCGGACGGAGCAACGCCGCGUGGGUGAUGAAGGCUUUCGGGUCGUAAAACUCUGUUGUUAGGGAAGAACAAGUGCUAGUUGAAUAAGCUGGCAACUUGACGGUACCUAACCAGAAAGCCACGGCUAACUACGUGCCAGCCGCCGCGGUAA
rnacentral:rRNA from 1 species